rnacentral:rRNA from 1 species
AGUCUAGCGCGAAGUCCCGAGCAAUCGGGAUUGUAGAGCGGCGGACGGGUGAGUAACACGUGGGUAAUCUGCCUUGAAGACGGGAAUAACCCGGGGAAACCUGGGCUAAUACCCGGUAAGACCACAGCCUGGAAUCGGGCAGAGGUCAAAGGGAGUCCCGCAAGGGAAAGUUCGCUUUAAGAUGAGCCCGCGGUCCAUUAGCUAGUUGGUGAGAUAAUAGCCCACCAAGGCUACGAUGGAUAGCCGACCUGAGAGGGUGUCCGGCCACACUGGGACUGAGAUACGGCCCAGACUCCUACGGGAGGCAGCAGUAGGGAAUAUUGCGCAAUGGGCGAAAGCCUGACGCAGCAACGCCGCGUGGAGGAUGAAGUUCUUCGGAAUGUAAACUCCUUUCAUAGGGGACGAAACGCCCCGAUUAUGUCGGGGUUUGACGGUACCCUUAGAAGAAGCACCGGCUAACUCCGUGCCAGCAGCCGCGGUAAUACGGGGGGUGCAAGCGUUGUUCGGAAUCACUGGGCUUAAAGGGUGUGUAGGCGGGUAAGCAAGUCGGGUGUGAAAACUCCAGGCUUAACUUGGAGCCCGCAUUCGAAACUACUUGUCUUGAGUGCAGGAGAGGAAAGCGGAAUUCCUGGUGUAGCGGUGAAAUGCGUAGAUAUCAUGAGGAACACCGGUGGCGUAGGCGGCUUUCUGGCCUGCAACUGACGCUGAGACACGAACGCUAGGGGAGCAAACAGGAUUAGAUACCCUGGUAGUCCUAGCGGUAAACG